rnacentral:sRNA from 2 species
AGUUGGCGAUCCACGGCGGUCCAUUCCUCCCGGCCCGCUACGUCAGCUGUUCCCCUCUGGAGGUUUUUUGACCUUCACACCUAAAGGCCCGGCCUUACGCUCGCGGCCUCUUUU